UACGUAGGGUGCGAGCGUUGUCCGGAAUUAUUGGGCGUAAAGAGCUCGUAGGCGGUGUGUCACGUCGGCCGUGAAAACCUGGGGCUUAACUCUGGGCGUGCGGUCGAUACGGGCAUCACUAGAGUUCGGCAGGGGAGACUGGAAUUCCUGGUGUAGCGGUGAAAUGCGCAGAUAUCAGGAGGAACACCGGUGGCGAAGGCGGGUCUCUGGGCCGAUACUGACGCUGAGGAGCGAAAGCGUGGGGAGCGAACGGG
rnacentral:rRNA from 1 species